AAUUUUAUCCAAUUCGAGCAAGCCCCCCAGAGCAAUGCAGCUUGAGGGAAGAAAGCCCACAGGGAUGUGAACGUAUUUUAUCAAGGUAGUAGUUUUGACCUUUAUUGAUGAAUAUACAUCGACUAACUGCAUGCCAGCAGCAGCGGCAGCACGGGGGAUGAAAGUGUGAUCCGUAAUCAUUUUCGUAAAGGUAAAGUAGGUGUUUUAGUAACUGUUUGGUUAAUGCUUGACCCAGGCCUCAAAAAUCAAUAGAUUCUACUAGAUUUGGGGAUAGUAGGGGUAAAGGGAAUUUCCAGUGGAGCGGAGAAAUGAGUGGAGUAUAGAUGGACCACCACGGCAGACGGCACUUUCCUGGUCUAUAUUGAUCACUACGAGGAGAAAGAAAGGGUACGGAACGGGCAACUUACCCCCGUAGUCCUUCCUCUC
rnacentral:rRNA from 1 species